CCUACGGGCGGCAGCAGUGAGGAAUAUUGGUCAAUGGGCGAGAGCCUGAACCAGCCAAGUCGCGUGAGGGAAGACGGUCCUAUGGAUUGUAAACCUCUUUUGCCGGGGAGCAAAAAGCGGUACGUGUACCGCAUCGAGAGUACCCGGAGAAAAAGCAUCGGCUAACUCCGUGCCAGCAGCCGCGGUAAUACGGAGGAUGCGAGCGUUAUCCGGAUUUAUUGGGUUUAAAGGGUGCGCAGGCGGCGAGUUAAGUCAGCGGUAAAAAUGCGGUGCUCAACGCCGUACAGCCGUUGAAACUGGCAGUCUUGAGUGGGCGAGAAGUAUGCGGAAUGCGUGGUGUAGCGGUGAAAUGCAUAGAUAUCACGCAGAACUCCGAUUGCGAAGGCAGCAUACCGGCGCCCGACUGACGCUGAGGCACGAAAGCGUGGGUAUCGAACAGGAUUAGAUACCCGAGUAGUC
rnacentral:rRNA from 1 species